AUAAAAACUUUGAAGAGAAGAGUAGCUAUAAGUGUGGAUUUAAAGAGAGCCAAUGUUUUGGUGGAAAUUGGUAUGAAACCUAUAGUGAAGAACAUCUCUGAGUUUCUAACCGAACCAUUUUUGCAGUAGGCUUAGACGUGUCCAAUACGUUAUAAAUUGGAAAGUAUCAUAUGUACUUUAAAGUUGGCUUUAUUUAAAGCAAUUUGGGUGGCACCGCGGAUAUAAACUUUCGUCCCAUUA
rnacentral:ncRNA from 1 species